rnacentral:ncRNA from 1 species
CAAACGGCCCUUUUUAGGGCCACCAAUACUUCACAGAAAUAGUUUU